UUCAAAGCUGCAAUGAGCCAUUAUCACACCACUGCACUACAGCCUGGGCAACAGAGCACCACCCUGCCUCAAAACAAACCCAUACAUAAUGAAGAAAAGAUAGAAAAUUCAGGGAAGGAAUUCUUAGGCUUUCUGGAUCACUGGGGUGGCCACAUGAGGUGGUGACUAUGCAGCUAACAGUUUUUCGAAGUUAUUCUGAGGGCAGCAGUUGGCACUGCUUGUGGGAAUGUAACUUGCAUUGCAUAACUUACAUUCCAAGGACAGGAAGAAUCAGGAAUGUUCUAUCUGGAAAAUAACACACCAUCAUUGAAAUUUCUUCAGUCUGCUACACAGAAAUAGGCUGUGUUCACCCUGAGAAGCAGAUGUGGGGGGUAUGACAUACAGUGUGUGGCUUAUUAUGACUCUUUAUCAUACCUGAGAGAGCUCACAUUGUAUAUUACAUACCAUCAAAAACUUUCUCCAUCACACUGUUGAUGAGAAUUAACAACUGGAAUAAAAAUGGCUUUUCCUGAGGUUUUUUUCCUUUCUCUUUACUUACCUCGUCAGAGUGGAUUUUUUAAAAGGAAGUGAAAUUAUGUAAUACAGGCUUGGGAAAGAGAAGGAGAAAGAUCCCAGCAAUCCCUGUAAACCAAGUGACAAAUGAUGGUCUUUCAUGGUUUGGAGACCUUAGUAGAGACUGACCUAUUAAUAACGGUAACCCAGGAAAUAUGGAUUCUCCUAGUUAAAAAGAAGCAACAUACUUUAUCAUAUUAAGACUCUCGAUAAAUGCAUGUGUGUAGAAAAAAAAAAUUGUCUUAUUUAAUAGCCCCAUCCCCAACUUUCCAGUGCUAAGAGAUUUUUCCAGCAGAGUUAUCACCUUAAAGAUUCCACUAGAUGGAGAUCCUGAGCUAUAUUCCAUGGUUUAUGACAAAAAGAAACGUGAAAAAAAAAAAAAAAACAUUUAAUUUCGCUUUUUACUUUAUUUUUCACAGCUUUUCUUGAAAGAUUGCAGAGUAGAAUUAUUUAUCAGUUGGUAUAUUAAGGAAAAUUUGACGUACAAACAAGCCCUUCAAAGGUUUUUAGUAACACCUAUCACAGGAGGCUGAAUUGAUAUCAGAAACCAGGAGUGUAAAGAUCCUUGAUGGUAUUUUAUUAUCAAAGAGGAAUGGAAAGGGCUUCUGCUUUUCUUUAAAAUUACAGUGACGAAAUAACACAUCAAUUAUUUGAACUGAUUUGUUUAUAAAGACAUUUACCUUAACUCAGAUUAUUGGAUUCUGUCAACUCAAAAUUUCUUUGUUCCUAGUCUAGUAAGUAAGCCAAAGUCAUGAUGAGAAAA